rnacentral:rRNA from 1 species
UACGUAGGAGGCAAGCGUUGUCCGGAAUUACUGGGCGUAAAGCGCGUGUAGGUGGUGGGACAAGUCUGCUGUGAAAGCGCCUGGCUUAACCGGGCGAGGUCGGCGGAAACUGUUCGACUCGAGGACGGUAGAGGGGGGUGGAAUUCCCGGUGUAGUGGUGAAAUGCGUAGAUAUCGGGAGGAACACCAGUGGCGAAGGCGACUUCCUGGCCUGUUCUUGACGCUGAGGCGCGAAAGCUAGGGGAGCAAACGGG